rnacentral:rRNA from 1 species
UACGUAGGGUGCGAGCGUUAAUCGGAAUUACUGGGCGUAAAGCGCGCGUAGGUGGCCCGAUAAGUCCGCUCUGAAAGUCACAGGCUCAACCUGUGAAAGCGCGUGGAUACUGUCGGGCUAGAGUGCGGAAGGGGCAACUGGAAUUCUUGGUGUAGCGGUGAAAUGCGUAGAUAUCAAGAGGAACACCUGCGGCGAAGGCGGGUUGCUGGGCCGACACUGACGCUGAAGCGCGGAAAGCCAGGGGAGCGAACGGG